AGUCCUGUAGCUCAGUUGGUUAGAGCACUACACUGAUAAUGUAGGGGUCAGCAGUUCAAGUCUGCUCAGGACUA
rnacentral:tRNA from 7 species